ensembl:lncRNA
GAUAUAGUUUACAUCAUAAAUUCAUUUUUCAAUGUAAAUUUAAUAUAGUAUAUAAUUAAUCUCCAAAUUUUAAAAUUUAAAAACUUAAAAACAAAAAGAAAAAAUGUAACCUAAUGUCUUUUGGGGUUUUUUUUGUUUUUUUUUUGUUUUGAGACAGAGUUUUGCUCUUUUUGCACAGGCUGGAGUACAAUGGCGCAAUCUCGGCUCACUGCAACCUCCGUCUCCUGGGUUCAAGUGAUUCUCCUGCCUCAGCCUCCUGAGUAGCUGGGAUUACAGGCAUGUGCCACCAUGCCCAGCUAAUUUUUUGUAUUUUUAGUAGAGACAGGGUUUCUCCACGUUGGUCAGGCUGGUCUUGAACUCCCAACCUCAGGUGAUCCACCUGCCUUGGCCUCUCAAAGUGCUGGGAUUACAGGCGUGAGCCACCGCGCCUGGCCAAAACCUAAUGUCUUAAGAGAACUUUUCAUAAAAUUAUUAUUUGGAUAUGCCUCUGACCACAGUCAUAGCUUUGCUUAAUCACCUCUGUGGGGCAUCAGUCUCCAAGGUCUAAACCAUAUAAACAUAGGUAGCCUUUAGAGCUGUAAAUAAAUACAUCCCUGCUACAUGUUAAUGAUUCUUGGAAUAUACAUUGACCAACAUAGUGCUCUCCUUGUUUAAUUAGGCAAAAAUCUAGCUAUAAAUAUGAAUAACAAGAGUAUACAUUAAAAAGACGUCAAAUAGCCAACCAAAAAUAUAUUUAACCAAACCUAAUUCAUUAUUAGGGACUUUCACCAGUCCCACGUCUAGUUUACUUCCAAUAUCCACAUUAAAUAGAGCCUUCUAUUAAAUUUUACUUCAGCUGUUGCAUUUAAGUGUGAAUGGCACUGUAGUGUCAGUAUGACCAGUGGUUAAUCCAAUUUUUUGGGGCAUUAGUAACUCACCCAACAAGAAUUUUUUUUCUAAUUUAUUAAUUAAAUGAAGGAACAUCAUAAUGGGAACAUGGGUAUGUUUGGACUACAGGAGAACAUCACAGCUGUGAACUCUUCCUUCAUGAAAAUAUAUUCUAAUCUUUUCGGCUUCUGAAUAAAGAAGACCAGCCACGGCUGGGCAAGGAACCAUCUUUGAGUUCAAUAUAAGCAGCAUAGACUAAAGGAGAGAGGCUGCUUCAAGUGUAUUUGACUUCUCUGUCAUUGAAGUUAUGCCAGUAGCAGUUGUGUAGAGAUUCUGUUGAAGGAUCUCCUAUGCAGAGCAGAAGGCUAGAUUCAUGACUUCUGAGGUUUUUUUCCACUUUGAAAUUCAUAACCUUUUAAUUCCCAACACAAAGCCAACAGCAGUCAAAGGAACUUGAGUGAAUUUUGUAAUCAAAGUGUUUGGAGACCUCAAGUCAUCUCCUGCUCCUGAAGCUUUUCAGUUCAAUGUGCACAUUGUGAUUCUGCAUAUUUUUGUGUACAUAAAAAUGUUUGUAAAUUUUAAAGUUACACAAAUUUUUUGUAAACCAUUCCAGUUUAGUUCUAGGUCACUGUGGUAAACUCACUGUGUGAAAAAUUAAUGGACUAAGGGGUAGGCAGAAUAACAAUGAUAGGUGGAUAUAAGUUAUCAUUUUUAGAAUUAAAUAUGAACCAAGCUCAGUUCCAAGUGCUUUUAUAAAUACUAGCCCUCACAACAUCCCUUUGAGGAAGGAAAUUUUACUACAUUUUCUUCAUGUAUAAAGAACCUGGUACACAAACAAGUUAAAUAAUUGCCCAAGGAUACAGCUUCCAAGUGGUGAAGCUGGAAUUUGAUGCCAGGGACUUUGCGUUCAGAAUCUGUGCAUUGAAGCACUAUCAUUCCAUAGUUGACAACCUAUUGCAAAUAAUAAAAAUAAAUAAAAAAUAAAACUGGACACUCAUUGAUUAAAUCAGAUUUCCAUUUUUGUGCUGUGAAAAACUACAUCUCUAUCUCAUACUACUUGAUAACAUUUCCUUCUUUAUGAUUAUAACAU